rnacentral:lncRNA from 1 species
CUCUCAGGGAAGCCAUGGAAAUAUUUCCUUCCUGGUCAUUCCUAGAAAAGUCAGAGAUUGAUGCUGCCUGAACCAGUUUGGCUCCCAUAUCCAUCCUUGAAUUCAUCCCAGGGACCAAGGCAAGGAAAUCAUAUUGGUGAGGUAGGCCAGGUUCCACACCCAGCCCUGAGACUAGGAGUAAAUUCAGCCCCACCUAAACCAUAGGGACAAAGGGUGAGAUGGAGGAAGCUCCCGGAGAAACACAGAAGAACUCCUAGCAGCAGAUGAAAAUGGCCCUAAAUAACAUCAAUGUAAACAAUAGUAACCAACAUUUGUUGAAUGUUUACUGUAUUCUGGGAUAAAUACUUUUCAUUAAUUACCUCAUUUGAUCCUUAUGAUAAUGAUGCAAUGUAUAUGUUCUUAUUUUUGUCCCCAUUUAAUAGUUGAGGUGCAGAGAGACUAAUUUGUCUGAGGUCGUGACUCCAGGAAAUGUCAGGGUCCAGAUCUGAACUCAAGUCAUCUGACUCAACAAUGCACACCUACUCUGGUGAGCUGAAUCACCCUAACCACCACCAGAGAUGCUCGGGUCCCAAUCCCUGCAACCUGUGAAUACAGUACCUUACCUGCCAAAAGGAAGUUUGUAGAUGUAACCAAGUAUCUUGAGAUGAGAAGACUAUCCUGGUCUGAGAAGGGCACAGGCAGCAUGUAUCCAAAACCAGAGGAAGCUAGAUGUCUCUGAAUUGAUUGAGAUUGUUUCUAAUUAUGGAUAGAGAUUUGUAUUCACUCAGUUAUAGAAAACAGAAACUUACUCAAGUUUGGAUAAGGAUAAAGGAGAAUUGGGGCGCCUGGGUGGCUCAGUCGGUUAAGUGUCCGACUUCAGCUCAGGUCAUGAUCUCAUGGUUUGGGAGUUCGAGUCCCGCGUCGGGCUCUGUGCUGACAGCUUGGAGCCUGGAGCCUGCUUCGGGUUCUGUGUCUCCCUCUCUCUCUGUUCCUCCCCUGCUCUCACUCUCUCAAAAAUACAUAAAGAUUAAAAAAUUUUU